rnacentral:sRNA from 1 species
GCUGGGUGUAGUGUGGCACAUGCCUGUAAUCCCAGCUGCUCAGGAGGCUGAGGCAGGAGGAUCACAAGGCCAACCUCUGCCAUUUAGUGAGAUCCUGUCUCAA